rnacentral:rRNA from 1 species
GACGAACGCUGGCGGCGUGCUUAACACAUGCAAGUCGAACGGAAAGGCCCUGCUUUUGGGGGGUGCUCGAGUGGCGAACGGGUGAGUAACACGUGAGUAACCUGCCCCUGACUUUGGGAUAACUUCAGGAAACUGGGGCUAAUACCGGAUAGGAGCUCCUGCUGCAUGGUGGGGGUGGGAAAGUUUCGGCGGUUGGGGAUGGACUCGCGGCUUAUCAGCUUGUUGGUGUGGUAGUGGCUUACCAAGGCUUUGACGGGUAGCCGGGCUGGGAGGGUGACCGGCCAAAUUGGGACUGAGCUACGGCCCGGACCCCUCCGGGACGCAGCGGUGCGGUAUAGUGCAUAAUGGGCUGAAGCCAGGUGCAGCCCAGCCGCGUGCGGGAUGACGGGCUUCGGGUUGUGAUCCAAUUCCGCCUGUCCCGAAGCGUGAGUGACGGUAAUGGGUAAAGAAGCUCCGGCUAACUACGUG